AGCCAUGCAUGUCUAAGUAUAAGUAUUAUACAGCGAAACUGCGAAUGGCUCAUUAAAACAGUUAUGGUUUAUUUGAUAAUCGAAUUUUACAUGGAUAACCGUGGUAAUUCUAGAGCUAAUACAUGCUGGUGUGCCUGACUUUUCGGAAGGGCGGUAUUUAUUAGAUAACGAACCAAUAUUCCUCUGGUCUAUUGUGGUGAAUCAUAAUAACUGAUCGAAUCGCAAAGCCUUUGGCUGCGAUAUGUCAUUCAAGUUUCUGCCCCAUCAGCUUUCGAUGGUAGUGUAUUGGACUACCAUGGCUUUUACGGGUAACGGAGAAUUAGGGUUCGAUUCCGGAGAGGGAGCCUGAGAAACGGCUACCACAUCUAAGGAAGGCAGCAGGCGCGUAAAUUACCCAAUCCUGACUCAGGGAGGUAGUGACAAGAAAUAACGGACCGGCCUUUCGAGGCUCGGGAUUGCAAUGAGCCGAAUUUACACCCCUUAGCGAGGACCCAUUGGAGGGCAAGUCUGGUGCCAGCAGCCGCGGUAAUUCCAGCUCCAAUAGCGUAUAUUAAAGUUGUUGCAGUUAAAAAGCUCGUAGUUGGAUUUCUGGGGAGGUGCCAAUGUCACCUUAGUGUUGCGCAGCGGCGCCUCUCCAUCCUUCUGUUAACGCCGUCGGUCCUUAAUCGGUCUGCGGCGGGCUCAGAUAUUUUACCUUGAGAAAAUUAGAGUGUUUCAGGCAGGCCAGGCCGGAAUACAUUAGCAUGGAAUAAUGGAAUAGGACUUUAGUCUCUUUGUUGGUUUGGGGGACUGCAGUAAUGAUUAAUAGGGAUAGUUGGGGGCAUUAAUACUUAACUGUCAGAGGUGGAAUUCUCAGAUUUGUUAAAGAUUAACUUAUGCGAAAGCAUUUGCCAAGGAUGUUUUCAUUAAUCAAGAACGAAAGUUAGGGGAUCAAAGACGAUCAGAUACCGUCCUAGUCUUAACCAUAAACUA
rnacentral:rRNA from 1 species